ACCUCCUCAAUUCCGGCUUCGGCACAUGAUCCCCCGUUCCCAAUGGCCAAUCUCUCUCCCCUCUUCUGGAACCCAAGGUAAGCUUCUACUCCUCGCCGUCGCUUCUUCGACUCCGCCGACCCGUCUCCUCUCUGUUGCUUCCUGGAGAGAGUGACGGCCUCUCCUCUUACCACGGGGAAGAGUUUGGCUGCGACAUUGGAUUUCUGAAUUCUUUACGUUUCUGGAAUGGGAUUCGUAAGAAACAGCCAGCUGUUCCGAGCUGCGGGAUUUUGAUUAGCGGAUUCGACUUCAGGAGAUUGAAUAAGUGAUUCAUUGGGUUGGAGAUGGAUUUGAACUCGAAGAAGUUCGCUGAAGGCUUCACGAAAAUCGAAGCUGAAGCUGACGAAUUCUUUAUUGCUCGAAGUUUUCCCUUCUCUAAAUGAUUACUCUCCGAUCUGUUAAUUCUGUUUCAGUUUCCUUUUUGAUUUUUUGUUUUUAUGAUUUGGAUAUAAAGAAGGGAAAUUUUCCUAUAUAAUCAUUUGGAUUUCACUGUUUCAAUUCCCAUUAAGGUUAGGGUUCUCUUCUCGGAUGCAUAAUGCCUAUUUAAGGUGUUCUAGUGUUCAGUUCAUAACAUUCUUCAGGUGAUCAAGGCACACAAACAGAGAAGCAACACAACUCCCGUUCCUCCGUAGAGUGUUUUCUGCAGAUAUCCAGAUAUGGGUCGGAAUAGUCUUCGGAAAGUCGUCGGCUUUGCAAAAGAUCUGGCAUCUGUAGGCAAAGUCGUUGUGCGUUCCAAUGGCGAUUAAACAGAUUUCUUCCGCAUCGAGGUAGCAGUGAUCGGUGCCACUAACCACUAUCAGACCCGCAUCGACGACAGAUCCAUCAACCGUAUACUCCUCUGCGUCUCUGUCCAUCCAGAAUCCGUCUCUCUUCUCGUUGACUCCAUUUCUCGGCGUCUAAAGAGGACCAGAGACCGUGUCGUCGUCCUCAAGACUGUUUCUCGUUCAUGGUAUCUUGGGCAAUACCAGACAGUUGCGUGUCACGAGUGCUAUUGGCCAUCUCCUAAUGAACUGCAAUACUAUGUUGCCUAUCUCCAAGAAAGAGCUGGAUGGAUCGUGGAUCAGUCAGGUAGGCUUCAGCCCAUCAAAUCCCGUGGUGUGAAGUGCAUUCAAGGCGAGGAAGAAGAAGAAGAAUACACAGAUACGAUGUUCCAUAUCUUGAAGUGUCAGGACUUGAUUCAAAAGACGUUGAACUGCUCACCAAGUAAUGACGCCUUGCAUAUCAAUCAUAACCUAGUCCAAGCAGUUCUCUGCACCAUCUUGGAAGAUAGUUUCGAGGUUUACAAGUCAUAUUCAGACCAGACAAAGGAGUUGUCUCACUUGUUGUCAGAUCUGCCAAGGCCUGCAAUGCCUCUGGCCCGUUAGAUGUUGGAGAAAUCUUCACAACAGUGUCGAGAUCUUCGCGGGUUCUACAAGAAGUGCAGAGGGAAGUUCCCACCAAUGGAAGACAUGAAGAUGGAACCCGCAAAAGCAGAGGAGCAAAUGACAAGCCUCAUCUCAACUCAAGGGUUCGUGCCUUUUCCAAGAUGGUUACCGGCCGAGACAUCAGUCUCCAUCUCCUCCUCGUACUGACAGACAGAUCUGCCCGUGACGGUGUCCUCACGACUCCCUGGUUUCGCCCUUGGCGCGUUAUCACACCAAUCUUGAGCCUUGAUUUUUAAACUUUUCUAGAUUUCUUUUGAGAUUAUAUUUUCUUCUCUGGUCUCUUGAGGGUUGGAUUGUAAAUGUAACACCUUUGUCAAAGGAUUCUGUGAAGAAAUUUCCCA